rnacentral:rRNA from 1 species
AGCAGCCGCGGUAAUUCCAGCUCCAAUAGCGUAUAUUAAAGUUGUUGCAGUUAAAAAGCUCGUAGUUGAACUUCGGGAUCAAUUAGUUGGUCAUGCCUUGGUAUGUACUGAUUUUAUUGGUUCUCACCUUCUAAAAGAACUAUAAUGUCAUUUAUUUGAUGUUAUAGGGAAUUAGGACUGUUACCUUGAAAAAAUUAGAGUGUUUAAAGCAGGCUCACGCUUGAAUACAUUAGCAUGGAAUAAUGAAAUAGGACAUCGCAUUCUAUUUUGUUGGUUUCUAGGAUCGAUGUAAUGAUUAAUAGGGAUAGUUGGGGGCAUUAGUAUUCAAUUGUCAGAGGUGAAAUUCUUGGAUUUAUUGAAGACUAACUACUGCGAAAGCAUUUGCCAAGGAUGUUUUCAUUAAUCAAGAACGAAAGUUAGGGGAUCGAAGACGAUCAGAUACCGUCGUAGUCUUAACCAUAAACUAUG